rnacentral:rRNA from 1 species
UACGUAGGGGGCAAGCGUUGUCCGGAUUUAUUGGGCGUAAAGAGCGUGUAGGCGGUUAGGUAGGUCCGUUGUGAAAACUCGAGGCUCAACCUCGAGACGCCGAUGGAAACCAUCUAACUAGAGUCCGGAAGAGGAGAAUGGAAUUCCUGGUGUAGCGGUGAAAUGCGCAGAUAUCAGGAGGAACACCGGUGGCGAAGGCGGCUACCGUGGACAGAAACUGACGCUGAGGCGCGAAAGCUAGGGGAGCAAACAGG